ensembl:lncRNA
GGGGUGGGACCAGGAGAGCGCUGGGGGUGAAGCUUGAAGAGUCCUCUGCUCAGGUGCGACUGUCACUGGUAUUUCUUCGUGGGUCACAAGUGCGAAGUCAGUGGGGUUCGACGUGUUGCACGCCGAGGAUCUCUGUCCGUGACGCGGAAAGUGGGCGAUCCGUCAUUUCAGCUGGUCCAAGCCUCUGCACGAUGUCCGCUCGGGCGGGGGCCGGGGGGGGGGGGCUGCCAUCAAGCUGCUCUCUGAUCUGCCGUCUUCCUGUUGUUCUGCAAAACAACCUCAGAAACUUUGGUUACUUUCUUGCCCACGUCCAGCCCUGUGGGGGCCGGGCACCGUGGUGUCGGUAACGGCAGGGGUUUCCUCUUGGGUCACCCUCCCAACAGUGUGGAGGAUGGGUUCAAGCGGGGAGGUGGGGGGGGUGGUGUGCCAGGAGGCCAGCCGGCAAGAUCAGUAAGGAGUCUACCGGGCUGGUUGCGUGCAAGAGACAGGAAGGCAUGCGGCAGAGCAGCGGGGACGGCAAACACGGGAAGGCGCUCGGCUCCCUUUGGGAGUCGGUAGGCUGCGAAGUGGGUGAGACAGAGAGCUCAAGCGUGGCCCUGAGGCCUCUCGCUCUGCUGUCGGGGGAUGAGAUGGGCAGAGGUUUUCUGAGGGGAUGAAAGGAAGGUAAGAGGAGGGGGAGGCUUUUGUUGGAGGAUACCGGGCUCCCUUUUGGACGUGUCGGUUUUGAGAAGCCUUCGGACAUCCUGAGAGGUGCGUCCAGCAGACAGUUAGAGAAAGCAGCGUGGAGUCAGGGGCAGGGUGACGUCAGUCGUACGCACUCCGAAGCCCUGGGCAUCCGGGGGGCGAGUCGAAUCGUAGGAGAGCGCAUGAGCUUGCUCUGAGACCCGAGGGGUUCCUGUUCCCUGAAGACCGUGCCUUCGGGAACAGAACCCUUUGAGAAGUGGUCGGGAGGAGAAGCCGCAGAGGAAAGUGAGACAGAGGGGUCUGAGGUUAGGAAGGGCACCUGGGGAGGGGGCCAUCCCCCAGAGAAAGAGGGUGGAGAGAACUUGCAGAGACUGAAGACGUGGGCAGCAUUCCUCAGACACCACAGGGAGUUUAGGAAGACGAAGGAACCGAAGGGCGUGCCCUGGCCUCUUGCCAGGACGGGACGGCGACGAGAUUUGGGGAGUCUUUCGAGGAGCCGGUGAGAGACGAGGCGAUGACUGGAUGGCUGACGAGGAGAGGAGUCGAGGUCUUUUGGCAGCAGCUUAGCCGUGAAAGGUAGAGAGAGAAGGCGGUGGUGGAGGAGCAGAAAGGAGAGGUGUGGAUGCCGGGAGAGAGACUUGGGUGUGCUCAGCGGCUUAAGGAAAGAGACGGGCCGAAGAGAAAGCAGCUGGCAAACUGAGGGAACGAGAUCUUUGGGGGAGGCUGAGCAGAUGGUUCCCAGGGCACCCCACGUGGAGCCGGGCCCCUGGAACUGCCAAGCUGAAUCCCUCUUCCUGGAAAACCAAAGGGAAAGGGGAGGGGUGGGUGGAGAGAAAUAGAGGGACGUUCAAACGGGGGUGGGGGGGUGCGGGAAACGGAGAGUUCUUGACUAGCUGGCCUCUGAUCUCUUCGGGUCCCGAACGGUAUGAGAGGACGAUCCCGCUUGAGGCAGGCGAUGGAGAUUUGGAGGGGCUGUUGAGGAAACGGGGCGGGGGGAGGGCGUUGACCACGGCCCUCUGAUGGGCUUGGGGGCGGAAGCGGCUUCCAUGCCCAUCGCGAGGCGCCGGUUCAGUCAGUCGGUGUCCAUCCGGACCACAGACCACAGACCCCUGCUUUGGAAAACAACAAGAUGCAGUUCGUAAACCCUUGCAAAGAUCUCUGAGGUCAGGUGACUGGCUUUGCAACCAAAAGCGAGUCAGGGAAUAAGAUCCUCCCCUGCUUAGGAGUUUUCUUUCCUGUCUGUCCCAGAGGCCAGAGAGCACCCGAGGGCGGUUUCCCAGGCAGCGGAAAGAGGAGGAGGACCAAGCCGAGCCCGGGGAAACCAAGCUUUCCUCCUGAAGUUUGGAUGCCUGCCCCUUGCACGUUGGUGCCCUUCCCCUUUCUUCCUACUGUCCCGGGAGUGGGCGCCCUCGCGCGCUUUCUGAUUCUGCAGCACUAAGCUCCUCGGAGACGGUGACAGCGUGGCAAACAGAAUCGGAAGCGUCCUUGGCCCACAGCCUGCGAUCCCACUGCUCUCCAGAGAAGUGACAUCCGUCCGCUUUAAGCUGGGUGACCACCUGCAGCGACACCCUUUUGAAAGCGCUGCUCACUAAGUCGGUCCACUUCUUUUGGACGUCCUCCAGCACUUCCUGUCGGGCCUCGUCUUGUCGCUGCAGUUCUCCGAUCUGCUCCUCCUGCAGGCGCGAGGCGGCUUGCGCUCUCUCCAGCCGUCCCUGCAGCGACCUCAGCUUCCCUUCCAGACCGUCUGCCUUUUGCAUCCAUUCGGC